UCGAGUCUAUCGUUUUACGCUAUGGUAGCUUUUUUCGGCUAGACAGCAUAGAUCGUCAGAACAUCGGAAACAGUUCAACGUUUAGUCCUAACGCUGGCCCCAUGGUCAGGCCCUCAGUGUCUCUGCUUCCCCCCUCCUCUGAGCAGCUCUCUGGGGGCUCGGCCACGCUGGCCUGCCUGCUGACUGGCUACUCUCCUCAGGGAGCCGUGGUGAGCUGGGAGGUGGACGGUACAGAGGUGACAGAGGGGGUCCUGAUCAGCUCAGAGGAGGAGAAGAGCGGACGCUACAGCAGCAGCAGCACCCUGAGCCUGAGCAAGGAGCGCUGGAUGGGAGGAGAGCUGUACUCCUGCAGGGUCCUCCAUCAUGACCACAGCCAGACCCAGUCCCUCCACAGGAGCCAGUGUAAGGGUUAGAGGGGCGGGCUGAAGCCCAGGACAGGAGCUCUGUGUGUGGGGAGCAGGAGGAACACACCUGCUGCUCUGAUAAUAUGACUUUUACUGUUUGUAGAGGAAACUAAAGCUUUGUGUAAUAGGGAACAACACUGCUGUAAAGUGUUGGACAACAACAACUUAGAGAUUAAUGUAUGUAGCUCAGCAGCUAGAUGUGAGCGUGCUUAAUAACUGUCAUGUUGAGGAUUAAUGUUUUUGCUAAUAAAGCUUGCACUGAAAAAUA